UUUGUCUUCUCUGAUGAUUUUUUAAAAAAUGUAGAUCCAGCUUUCUGACAUCUGUCAUUUUUCUUCUGACUGAAGAAAAUUUCUCACAGAGCAGGUCCGAGAGCAGCACAUUCAGUCAGUUUUUGUUUAUUAGAAUCUUUAUUUCUCCUUCACUUUUGAAGGAUACUUUAGCUGGAUAUAGAAUUCUAAGUUGUCUUUUCCCCAUUCAACACUUUAAAUAUUUCACUCAACUAUUCUUGCUUGCAUAGUUUCUGAUGAGAAGUCUGCUUACAAUUCUAUAAUUCUUCCUCUAGAGGUAAGGUUUUCCCCACCUCUGUCUUCUUUCAAAAUUUUCUCUUUAUCUUUGGUUUUCUGCAGUUUGCACAUGAUAUACCUAGAUGUAACUUUUUGGUGUUCUCUGAACCUCCUGGGCCUGUAGGUUGAUAAAUGUCAUUAAUUUUGGAAAGUUCUUGGCCAUUACUACCUCAAAUAUUGUCCCCCAUUCUCUUUUUUCUCCUUGCAUUUUAAUUGCAUGUACCUGACAUCUUCUGAAAUGUUCCCACACUUCAUGGGUAUUCUGUUUUGUUUCUAUUGUUCUUUUUUUUUCUCUUUGCAUUUCAGUUUGGGAAGUUUCUAUUGAUGUAUCUUCAGGCUCACUAAUUCUCUGCACAGCCAUGUCCAGUCUACAGAUGGGCGCAUCUAAGGCAGUCUUCAUUGUUGUUAGAAAUGUUAGCAUUUCCUUUUGAUUAUUUCUUAGAAUUUUUAUUUUUCUGGUUUCAUUAUCAAUCUGUUUUUGCAUGUUUUCUACUUUUUCCCAAUAGAGUCCUUAAUGUAUUAAUCAUAGUUAUUUGAAACUCCCUGUCUGAUAAUUUCAACAUCUGUGUCAUAUCUGAGUCUGGUUCUGAUGUUUGCUAUGUCUCUUCAGACUGUGUGGUUUUUCUUUCUUCCUUUUUGGUGUCCUUUUAAAUUUUUUGUUGAAACCAGUCAUGGUGUAUCAGGUAGCAGGAAUUGAGCUAAGUAGGCCAUUAGUGUGAGGAUUUAUGUUAAUUUUACUUAGAGUUGGUCUGUGUUUAAUGUUUGUUAUAUCUGUAGGUGCCAGAGAUUUCAAAUUUCUUUAGGUCUUUAUUUUUUCCCCACCCUUGACUUUGAACUUCUCCAAGCCUUCCUCAGAGAGAGUACUGUUUCUUGGAGCCCUUUCAGCUGUAAUUCACUGCUGUUAUGCUGGAGCCCUGUUGGUGAGGUGGUAAAUUGUGGGAAAAGGGGAGUGUUCUAUAUAGUCUUCAGAUUAAAUCUCAGUCUUCCAGGGGGUCCUGUGUCUGGCCUGUGACCUUCACAACUGUUUCUCCGACCUGUAGGUGAGACAGGAAAGCUAGAGGGGGCUGCAGUGAGAGAAUGCCCUUCCCCAAGCUGGGAUAAGGCUGGGCAGUCUUUCCCCUGGGGAAUGGGCCUUCGUUAUGGAGAAGGCUCUGGUGGUUUUUUGUUGUUGUUGUUGUUAUAAGAAUUACUCUUCCUCUCCUUGUUAGAGCCAGGAGAGGCUCUUUCUAGAAUCUUCUCAAUGAGAACUUGGGGAUUCCUGGAGGCAAAGCCCAUGAAAUUGUGGAGUCCCCCUAAGAUUGCAGCCCUGGGAGUUUCUCACUGAGAGCUGGUCUAUAUUCACCAGUUAGCAAUUUGUCAAAAUUGCCGUGUAACUGUUCUACUAGUUCUGGCUCCGGCAGCUUCUGCUCUGGGUAAGUGGAGCUUGGCUGUUACUCUCUAGGUUCAUCUGUCUCUCCAGACUUGGGGUGGUAAUUUACCUUGAAAACUCAGUUCUCUGAUGGGUCCAUGAAAAGUCAUUGAUUUUCAGUUUGUCCAGCUUUUUGUUGUUGUUGUUGUUGUAUGGACGGGAGUGACAACUUCCAAGCUGUUUACGUGACAGAACUGAAACUGGAAGUUUAUGUAUUUUUCAUAUCAUAGAAUGAUUUUUCUCUUUUGAUGUGUUCUCUCUCUCUGUUUUACAGACCACAAAGACAAAUUUUCAGGGAGGGAACAAACAUUAUUCAGCAGUGGAGUGUCUGAUCCUCUGUGGUGGGGCUGACAUUUAUUUCAUUUGUCCUAACACUUCUCUGCCAGAUAAACUGACGUCCCUAGCCAAUAGUAGAGACCAGUGAGGCUCAGCGAGGUUGGGUCAUCAGCUCAAAAUCCAAAAUCACACCACCCGUGAGUGACAAAUCUGGGAUUUAAACAUGGCUUUCUUGGCUCAAAUGUCACGGCCAUCCCAAUGAAUCUAAGCCACUAGCUGCUCUCACUAUUGUCUUUGGUUGAGAUGCCACUGAACGAAUAAAAAUGACCACCUUUCUAGGUGCUCCUCACGUCCAGCCUAGCAGGUCAUAUCUUGGGAUUUUUCAAUAUCAACUGUGAGACUGGGCCAAGGCUUCCAAAGACAUUGGUUUUAUUCCCGGGCGUGGAGAUCUGCAAACUUCUGUAAAGGAUAUACAAUUUCCUGGGCUCAUUCUCUUCGUGGUGACUCCAGGAUUGUGAGGACCACACAUCUCCUCAUCUUCGAGACAGUCUGUUUUCUCUGAAUGAUCAUCUUGGAGCCUACCUGGUUUGGUUAGAUGCGUGACAGCAUAAGAAGCAAAUUGCCGAGCCCCUGAACACCAUUGUGAGCAUUGGAAUCGUGUGUCUUAUUACUGUUAAAUGGCAAGUAAGCCACCAGUGCUGGAGAACGUGUAAUUUCACGUAUAAUUUAAGGGAAGCAUGCAUCCUGGCGCCUUAGUCUGGGUAACAGCUUCCUGCUUUUGUACAAGGCGCUUUGCACAUUAAAGUAAUUGCAGAAACUUAUGAGGACGACAGGAAAGUUUACUCUUCCUCUUUACGAAGAAAACAAAUGUGUUUUUCUGCAGACUCUGCCAAGGCUCGGUUUUAAUGAUCUCGCAGAUGGAGCCGGCACAUGUGAGCCCGUGGGUGCAGCUGUCUGCUUUCUCCAGCCUGAGGGGCGUGUGACUGCAACCAUAGCACCGUGUCGGCAGCACUUGUCUCUCCAGCACAGCGUCUCUCCUGCAGCACCACACUCCUAACCCACCAUGCCACUUAAAGGGAGGAGGCCCACUGACCGUGACGUCACCAACCUGACCGCUGAGGCCAUUGAGUUUGCAAUGGAUGGAGUUUUCUUAACUGUGACCCAAUCAACCUUGGAAGAAGGAAUCCCAGUCUUGGAUUGUCUCUCUGGAAACACUAACUCAUAAACUUCAGCUCCAUCUCAGUUCCUAGGAUCUAUUUUGCUUUCAAGGGGAGAAAGAGGUCAGGAAAGAGGCCGCUAGUUGGGCAAAAGUUUAGAAACCAUUUCCUGCUAGUGCUGUGGAGUCAAUCAAGACCACGGUCUCCUUCCGCCAGCAUCAUGACGUGCAGCCAGUCCUGGGAAGCCGGGGCAUUUCUGGAAGCUCAAACGGGAGCCGUUCACGUGUCAUUUUUCUUAGCAAUAAGGGUUCCGCUUCAUUUCAGGCUUGUCUUGAGAGGCAGAAGUUUCUAUUUAUCAGCCAACAAAGGCUGAAGCGUUGGUGCUUUGCAGCCGGGGACUGGGGUUUGGAUUGUGUUCUAGGCCCCACAGUAUGCACGCCUUUCACCCCAAAUCAAAAGCAAGAGGGAAAAAGGGAAGAUUGUGGUUGAAAAAAAAAAAAAACACAAACUGGAGAAACACUGAGAAAAUAUUGUCCUAGUUUGUUUCUAAAGGAUGUGCCUUUCUGGUAGUGCUCAAAAAGAGGCUGUAAGUUUUCCUGACUCCAAUUAACCCUCAGGGCACACUGACAGUCCAGGGAGGGCCCCAAGCACAGCUUUGACAUAGUACUAUUUCACAUAGGGAAGGGCAGAAUGUGUAGCAACAGGGGCUCUCAGCCAGUGGGGACAAAAGUGGUUUUGGGGUUGGGGCGUGGUGGCUCACGCCUGUAAUCCUAGCACUUUGGGAGGCCGAGGCAGGCAGAUCACAUGAGGUC